rnacentral:rRNA from 1 species
GUACACGCUGUGACUAGCAUAUCAAUAAGCGGAGGAAAAGAAACUAACAAGGAUUCCCCUAGUAACGGCGAGUGAAGCGGGAAGAGCUCAAAUUUGAAAUCUUAAAGGGUUUCCCUUUACGGAAUUGUAGUUUAAAGAAGUGUUUUCUGUUGAGGUUUUGGUAAAAGUUCUUUGGAAUAGGACAUCAUAGAGGGUGAGAAUCCCGUAUUUGACCUUUACUUUCAACUUUGUGAUACACUUUCAAAGAGUCGGAUUGUUUGGGAAUGCAGUCCAAAAUGGGUGGUAAAUUUCAUCUAAAGCUAAAUAUUGGCGAGAGACCGAUAGCGAACAAGUACCGUGAGGGAAAGAUGAAAAGAACUUUGAAAAGAGAGUUAAACAGUACGUGAAAUUGUCAAAAGGGAAGCGUUUGACACCAGUGUUGUUUUUCUGAAAAUCAAUUAAAGAACUGUUUAUGCUAAGUUGUUUAGACUUUAUCAGCUAACUGUUUAGUUUUGAGCUUUUCUUUAAUGCACUUUUCAGUUAACAAGUCAACAUCAAUUUCUUUUGCUGUAAAAAAGCUUGAGGAAGGUGGCUUGAGAUUCGUCUUAAGUGUUUAUAGCCUCUUGCCUAUGCAGUCGGAGAGAUUGAGGUCUGCAGCGUAGAUCCUUCGGGGCUAAAUGCAUUUGUGCUAAGUUAUAGCAUUUUAUAGACAACUUGUUGACUAUGAUUUGUCUUGUAGCUUACUCGCUUAUGUUAUUUUACCUACGCUUAGGAUGUUGAGUCGUAGAGCACGCAG